CCUACGGGGGGCAGCAGUGAGGAAUAUUGGUCAAUGGGCUUACGCCUGAACCAGCCAAGUCGCGUGAGGGAAGACUGCCCUAUGGGUUGUAAACCUCUUUAGGCGGGGAGCAAUGCCGGGCACGCGUGCCCGGCGGGAGAGUACCCGCAGAAUAAGCAUCGGCUAACUCCGUGCCAGCAGCCGCGGUAAUACGGAGGAUGCGAGCGUUCUCCGGAUUUAUUGGGUUUAAAGGGUGCGUAGGCGGAUUUUUAAGUCAGCGGUAAAAUGUCCGGGCUCAACCCGGGCCGGCCGUUGAAACUGGGGAUCUUGAGUGGGCGAGAAGUAGGCGGAAUGCGUGGUGUAGCGGUGAAAUGCAUAGAUAGCACGCAGAACUCCGAUUGCGAAGGCAGCAUACCGGCGCCCGACUGACGCUGAGGCACGAAAGCGUGGGGAUCGAACAGGAUUAGAUACCCUUGUAGUC
rnacentral:rRNA from 1 species